UUUUCAGAUUGUCCCAUUGAAAUUGUUGAAACCAUUUGGCUUGAGAUGGGGUUGCCUUGUAUUCGCUAAGAUUAGAGUAUUGUAAAUAGGGAGAUCUAAAACAGGUGGAAGUUGAUCGUCAUCACCAAGGAAAACAACUACGGGAAUACCUCCCCACGUCUGAUCAGAUACCACAUCGGCAGUGAAAUUCCAUCCACCCAAGUGGAUUUAAACCAAUUAAAAACCUUUCAUCAACUAGAAUGGCAUGGAGGUCAGAACAGUUGUCUUGGAGAGUUUCUCCCAGUGGGUCGUCUGGUGCAGUCAUCUCUUUUGCCCGGUUUUGUAGAGUAAAGUCUACAUCAGGAAUUUUUAGAUUAUGGUCAUCACUAGCAGCACUCUCCAAUUUACUCCACCAUUUUGUGCCAAAAUCUUUUGGAUAUUGGACAGAUGUUUGACUCCAAUCAUAGUCUGUUCCACCAUCAUCCAAUUUGAAAUCUUGCACCACAUCAUCAAAACUUGACAUCGGGCGAAUUGCCUCCAUCCACUCAGAUUGUUGGAGCACCCUACACCCAGUGAAACUAACAUUUUAAAAAGAAUGACUUGAACGAAAUAGAGGAAUAGACGAAAGCUCAUAACAGGCUUCCACAGAAGAGGGGCCUCCGUGGCCGAGUGGUUAGAACAUCGCGCCCAAUAUCACACGGUCUCUCACCUCUGGUCGAAUCCCGCUCGCGCCGGUAAGUGAGAAAGUUCCCCAGUUUACUUUCGGAAGGUCGGUGGUCUCUUCCCAGGUACAUAGUAUCUGGGUUCUCUCUUCCACCAAUAAAAACUGGGCGCCACCAAAUAACUGAAAAAUUGUUGAGUGUGGCGGAAAACACCAAUCAAUCAAUCCACAAAAGAAACAUCCCUUUUCACAGUAUUCAUUAGAAGUUUAAUACAGAGUGAGAUUGCAGAUGUACCAGUUUAAUCCUAAAUACAAUUGCCCAUAUCCGAGAAGAGAUCAGAAAUCGCACCAGUUGGCUCAUUACCUUUACAUGCAUAUCUGGUAAUGUAUUUCUCAGUUGUAAUGAUAUCAACUGAGGUAUUGGCGGAACCGCCUUUAAACAGAAUAAGGGAGAAAUCUUUAUUUGCUCUCCAGCCUUGCGUGUGAAUCUUGGAGUGCUGAACUAAAACAGGAUGAUCUCUUUCUAUCUCCAAGCGUAACAAACCAUUUCUAUCUUUUACUAUGGCAGGUGAAGACCGAGCAGGCUUUGGGAAUUCCAUCCUGCACUUUUUUUGUUAUUGAAUUUGAUUUUGAGGAACGUAAACAUUAGUCAGAACAUCGAUGCAGAUUGAAACGAUUACAUAAUAGUAAAUGAUCUUCCAAAAGACUUUCUUGAGUAAGACUGGCAUGCAUGAGAAGUUUAUACAAAGGGUUAUUUUCUUCUGGAGGAGAGGGGCAGAACCUUCUGGUGGGGGCCACAAAUUUCGAUUUGGAUUUCCUAAUUCAUCUUUACCAGCAGGAUGAAAAGCUGUAAGACCAAAGUUCUGGGCAGCCCAAGUAGAAAGUUUCUCAGCACAAUGUUCAUCGGAGAGGCCAUUUACAAUGGCUUCAUGCAGCAAAUCAUAGGGCUGUUUGUCUGACCUCCAACAAAGACCAUGCCAUUGAACCAUUCCUUUAGAUUUGGCAAACUCUUGUCGAUACCAGUAUGUGUCAUCACCAAAGACAGGACCCAUGACAUUUUGAAAUAUGACUGUGUUCUUAAGUCGAAGUAUUGUGCUACAACAUGUGAAAAAGCCUGAAGAGUUUUUAAAUAGGAUAUUUUUAACAUUGAGAUCUACAGAUGAACCAGUUGUUUCUUUAAUAUAGAAAGUAAUUUUUUAAGGGGUUUAAAGUGGAAUUCUGCACAACUGGCAGUUGUAAAAUAUGAGGGCAGACCCAUUCCUUCAUUGAUUUUAAACUGCA